AGCGAACGCUGGCGGCAGGCCUAACACAUGCAAGUCAAACGAACCCUUCGGGGUUAGUGGCGGACGGGUGAGUAACACGUGGGAACGUGCCUUUAGGUUCGGAAUAACUCAGGGAAACUUGUGCUAAUACCGAAUGUGCCCUUCGGGGGAAAGAGUUAUCGCCUUUAGAGCGGCCCGCGUCUGAUUAGCUAGUUGGUGAGGUAAUGGCUCACCAAGGCUACGAUCAGUAGCUGGUCUGAGAGGAUGACCAGCCACAUUGGGACUGAGACACGGCCCAAACUCCUACGGGAGGCAGCAGUGGGGAAUCUUGCACAAUGGGCGAAAGCCUGACGCAGCCAUGCCGCGUGGAUGAUGAAGGUCUUAGGAUUGUAAAAUCCUUUCACCGGUGAAGAUAAUGACUGUAGCCGGAGAAGAAGCCCCGGCUAACUUCGUGCCAGCCGCCGCGGUAAGAC
rnacentral:rRNA from 1 species